rnacentral:rRNA from 1 species
CGGCAACAGCUCAAAUUUGAAAUCUGGCCUAUGGCCCGAAUUGUAAUUGGCAGAGGAUGCAUCGGGGGCGGCCCUGUUCCAAGUCCGCUGGAACGCGGCGUCCUAGAGGGUGAGAAUCCCGUACGCGAGCGGUGUCCGCUCCCAUGUGAUGCUCCUUCGAC